CCCUUAGAUGUUCUGGGCCGCACGCGUGCUACACUGAGUGGAUCAGCGGGUCAGGUUGCGCGAAAGUGUUUCCUAAUCUUUAAAUCCACUCGUGAUGGGGAUUGACGGUUGCAAUUUUCCGUCAUGAACGAGGAAUACCUUGUAAGCGCGGGUCAUCAUCCCGCGCUGAAUACGUCCCUGCCCUUUGUACACACCGCCCGUCGCUCCUACCGAUUGAGUGGUCCGGUGAGGCUUUGGGAUCUGAGCGGAAAGAGCGUUUCGCUGUUUCUGCCCGGAAAACUCAGUCGAACCUUAUCAUUUAGAGGAAGGAGAAGGCGUAACA
rnacentral:rRNA from 1 species